GAUGAACGCUGGCGGCGUGCUUAACACAUGCAAGUCGAACGGUGAACACGGAGCUUGCUCUGUGGGAUCAGUGGCGAACGGGUGAGUAACACGUGAGCAACCUGCCCCUGACUCUGGGAUAAGCGCUGGAAACGGCGUCUAAUACUGGAUAUGUGACGUGACCGCAUGGUCUGCGUUUGGAAAGAUUUUUCGGUUGGGGAUGGGCUCGCGGCCUAUCAGCUUGUUGGUGAGGUAAUGGCUCACCGAGGCGUCGACGGGUGGCCGGCCUGAGAGGGUGACCGGCGACACUGGGCCUGAGACACGGCCCAGACUCCUACGGGAGGCAGCAGUGGGGAAUAUUGCACAAUGGGCGCAAGCCUGAUGCAGCAACGCCGCGUGAGGGAUGACGGCCUUCGGGUUGUAAACCUCUUUUAGCAGGGAAGAAGCGAAAGUGACGGUACCUGCAGAAAAAGCGCCGGCUAACUACGUG
rnacentral:rRNA from 1 species